GGGUGGGAUGAUGAAAUCUUUGACUGUAACGUUAUGUUUACAGAUGUGUGACAGUUAAUCUAUGCAUUCUGACAUGACUACAACAGAAAUGACAAAGUUUGGACCAGAUUACAGCACUAGACAUACAUGCCACCAGAAAACAUUCUGUAUAACCAUCUGUUGUAUGUAGGACGUGCAUCCUGUGCUGGUCAACUGAUUUAUAUAGCUACUGUGCUCAUUCAGCUGUAGUCAUGUUACAACAAUAACUGAUGAGAUGCAGAUGCAAAGCAUACACUAUGUCUUUGUUGUUAUCAGUAAAGUUGUUGUAGAUGUACAUAUCACUCUAGUCAAAAAUAAAAUGUGUCUGACUAGAAAUGUCGUCCUUUAAUAUCUCAGUUGGUAGAGCGGAGGACUGUAGUGGUUGUACUUAGCAAUCCUUAGGUCGCUGGUUCAAAUCCGGCUCGAAGGAGGGACAUUUUAAAAACUACAAGCCGUACUCUAUGUGAGAAUGUUUUGUAUAACCAUCCUUGUUGUCUAUUGUUUCAUCAGUCAACUGAUCAAAAAAACUACUGUUUAUUCAGCUGCAAGUUAUAUAUGUAGAUUUUUCCAGCAUGAACAGUAUGAUAUAUGUUGUUUGAAAUGGUUUAGGUUGAACACAUCACUGUAGUUAAGAAAAAGAAAAAACAAGUUAAAGUGGCUGUUGUCUGCCUUCGAUAGCUCAGCUGGUAGAGCGGAGGACUGUAGUGGUUGUACUUAGCAAUCCUUAGGUCGCUGGUUCAAAUCCGGCUCGAAGGAGGGGCAUUUUAAAAACUACAAGCCGUACUCCAUGUGAGAACGUUCUGGAUAACCAUCCUUGUUGUCGAUUCCUUUGUGAGUCAACUGAUCAUCAAGACUAUUGUGUUUGUUCAGCGACAAGUUAUAUAUGUAGAUUUUUCCAGCAUAAACAGUAUGAUAUAUGUUGUUUGAAAUAGUUUAGGUUGAACACAUCACUCCAGUUAAGAAAAAGAAAAAUCAAGUUAAGGUAGCUGUUGUCUGCCUUCGAUAGCUCAGCUGGUAGAGCGGAGGACUGUAGUGGUUGUACUUAGCAAUCCUUAGGUCGCUGGUUCAAAUCCAGCUCGAAGGAGGGACAUUUUAAAAACUACAAGCCGUACUCCAUGUGAGAACGUUCUGGAUAACCAUCCUUGUUGUCGAUUCCUUUGUGAGUCAACUGAUCAUCAAAACUACUGUGUUUGUUCAGGGAACAAGUUAUAUAUGUAGAUUCUUCCAGCAUAAACAGUAUGAUAUAUGUUGUUUGAAAUGGUUUUGGUUGAACACAUCACUCCAGUUAAGAAAACGAAAAAACAAGUUAAGGUAGCUGUUGUGUACCUUUGAUAGCUCAGUUGGUAGAGCGGAGGACUGUAGUGGUUGUACUUAGCAUUCCUUAGGUUGCUGGUUCAAAGGAGGGACAUUUUAAAAACUACAAGCCGUACUCCAUGUGAGAACGUUCUGGAUAACCAUCCUUGUUGUCGAUUCCUUUGUGAGUCAACUGAUCAUCAAAACUACUGUGUUUAUUCAGCUACAAGUUAUAUAUGUAGCUUUUUUCCAGCAUAAACAGUAUGAUAUAUGUUGUUUGAAAUUGUUUAUUUUGAACACAUCACUCCAGUAAAAAAACAAAAACAAAGAAAAAACAAGUUACGGUAGCUGUUGUCCACCUUUGAUAGCUCAGUUGGUAGAGCGGAGGACUGUAGUGGAGGUAACAGACAUCCUUAGGUCGCUGGUUCAAGUCUAGCUCGAAGGAGGGACAUUUUAAGAAUUAGAAGCUGUACUCCACAUGUCAAUAGUCUGUGUAACUGAUCCUGUUGUACAUAUGAUUUGUGUCCCUGUAAGUCAGCUCAUUUAUAUAGCUACUGUCCCUGUUUGGCUAUGGAUAAAUGUAUCUACUGUGCUUUCUUGACUACAGUGGGAAUGUAUAGAUUUUUGCAGUAUGAACUGCAAAUGAUGUGUUUUUUACAGUCACUGGUUCAAAUCCGGCUCAAAGGAGUGACAUUUUAAGAAUUAGAAGCUGUUCUCCACUUGAAAACAUUCUGCAGUAACUUUUUGGCCACCUGGGGCAAGCUAAGACUGACAUAGAGUGUAAUCACCUUUCAGUAUGAUGAAGAAAACUGUCUCCUGCUCACACAUGUAGCAGAUACAAAGAAGCACACAUUUGGAGUCAUGUUCAUGUCCCAUCUCCACUCUUGUUGCGCUGUUUUUAGGAAAUAUCCGACUGUUUGACUGCUAAAUGCUCUGACUCUCCUACAGUCAGAUAGUCAGAUAGUGAUCAGCUGAUUUAGUUGAUCAAUCUCUGUGAGUUUAUCAGUAUGUGUGACCAUUUUAUAUCCUCCCAUUGUUUGUACAUUGACAUUUAUGCAUUGAUAUUUUCAUUAAUUUAGAUUGUAUUAUAUACAAAUGUAGUAUUAGAUGUCAAAAGAAUGCAAGAUCGCCCCUUUUCACUGUCAAAUUUAAUAUUUAUAGCAUUCUUGCUGAUGUAUUUACAUAAAAGCGGCUUCAUUUGAUAUGAUCAGUAUUCACUAUUUUAUAUAUUUGUGGCUGUUUUAAUCCAUGCAAUGCAUCUUUUUUAAAAUGCUGAUCUUUUUGCGUAUUUUGAAUGAAACUUUCAGUCUGACAAAGUAAGUGCCAACUGUAGUCAUCAAACUAAAAGCCUUCAAUCAUUUCCGCAGGCUGACACUUGUACAGCCGUUAAAGCACCUGGAUUUCUUCUUUUGUUUUUAGCACAACAGUACACUUAACCUAAUGCACACUUCUCUUUUCUACUAAGUGAUCUGACUCACUUCCCCUCCAAACACAGGCUACUUUGUGUGCUAAUAGUUAUGACCAGAGUUAUUUUCACUCUGAUUAUUUGCUAACAUCCUUCCCUGAUGAAUCAUUCUGUGUUGCAUUAAAAAAGUUCCACUCUCUGGUCAAUUCCUCUUCCUAAUUCACUCUAUGUUCUUUAAUUUUUUUUC